CCUACGGGGGGCUGCAGUGGGGAAUAUUGGACAAUGGGGGCAACCCUGAUCCAGCCAUGCCGCGUGUGUGAAGAAGGCCCUCGGGUUGUAAAGCACUUUCAGUGAGGAAGAACGCCUGGUGGUUAAUACCCAUCAGGAAAGACAUCACUCACAGAAGAAGCACCGGCUAACUCCGUGCCAGCAGCCGCGGUAAUACGGAGGGUGCGAGCGUUAAUCGGAAUUACUGAGCGUAAAGCGCGCGUAGGUGGCUUGAUAAGCCGGUUGUGAAAGCCCCGGGCUCAACCUGGGAACGGCAUCCGGAACUGUCAAGCUAGAGUGCAGGAGAGGAAGGUAGAAUUCCCGGUGUAGCGGUGAAAUGCGUAGAGAUCGGGAGGAAUACCAGUGGCGAAGGCGGCCUUCUGGACUGACACUGACACUGAGGUGCGAAAGCGUGGGUAGCAAACAGGAUUAGAUACCCCGGUAGUC
rnacentral:rRNA from 1 species